rnacentral:rRNA from 1 species
UACGUAGGGUGCGAGCGUUUAAUCGGAAUUACUGGGCGUAAAGGGCUCGUAGGCGGCCAACUAAGUCAGACGUGAAAUCCCCCGGCUUAACCUGGGAACUGCGUCUGAUACUGGAGGGCUUGAGUAUGGGAGAGGGAUGUAGAAUUCCAGGUGUAGCGGUGAAAUGCGUAGAUAUCUGGAGGAAUACCGGUGGCGAAGGCGGCAUCCUGGACCAUUACUGACGCUGAGGCGCGAAAGCUAGGGGAGCAAACGGG